rnacentral:rRNA from 1 species
UACAGAGGGUGCGAGCGUUGUCCGGAAUCACUGGGCGUAAAGGGCGCGUAGGUGGCGACCCAAGUCGAUGGUGAAAGCUCGCCGCUCAACGGCGAGUCGGCCACUGAUACUGGGUUGCUGGAGCACUGUAGAGGCAGAUGGAAUUCCGGGUGUAGCGGUGGAAUGCGUAGAGAUCCGGAAGAACACCGGUGGCGAAGGCGGUCUGCUGGGCAGUUGCUGACACUGAGGCGCGGACAG